rnacentral:rRNA from 1 species
UACGUAGGGGGCGAGCGUUAUCCGGAUUCAUUGGGCGUAAAGCGCGCGUAGGCGGCCGCCUAAGCGGAACCUCUAACCCCGGGGCUCAACCUCGGGCCGGGUUCCGGACUGGGCGGCUCGAGUGCGGUAGAGGAGAGCGGAAUUCCCGGUGUAGCAGUGGAAUGCGCAGAUAUCGGGAAGAACACCGAUGGCGAAGGCAGCUCUCUGGGCCGUCACUGACGCUGAGGCGCGAAAGCUGGGGGAGCGAACAGG